UACGUAGGUGGCAAGCGUUAUCCGGAUUUAUUGGGCGUAAAGGGAACGCAGGCGGUCUUUUAAGUCUGAUGUGAAAGCCUUCGGCUUAACCGAAGAAGUGCAUCGGAAACCGGGCGACUUGAGUGCAGAAGAGGACAGUGGAACUCCAUGUGUAGCGGUGGAAUGCGUAGAUAUACGGAGGAACACCAGUGGCGAAGGCGGCCUGCUGGACAUUAACUGACGCUGAGGCGCGAAAGCGUGGGGAGCAGACAGG
rnacentral:rRNA from 1 species